CUGAGCUCUGGCUGCCUCGGAACCGGACUGGGAGCAGGUUGCUGCGCGCCCGCUUCUCCAGAUGGCGGGGUUGCGUUUUUUGCAUGUCACUGUGGGCUCUCUGCUGGCCACCUACAGCUGGUACAUCGUCUUCAGCUGCUUCCUUUUGUACCUGAUUUUUCAGAAGUUAUCAGCCUUGAUGCAGAGGCAGCUGGACCGAGCCGGCUACUGUGGAACCUGACAAUGCUGUGAAACGACAAGAGGCCUUAGCAGCCACUCGCCUGAAAAUGCAGGAAGAACUGAACGCACAGGUGGAAAAGCAUAAGGAGACACUCAGACAGGCAUGAAGCGCUUCGCGUAGGUGGCUCUAACGAUGUGAGGCUGAGUUACAGCCCUUCGUCCGGGGAAGGAGGUGGAGCCUGCUCCUGGAGACCUGGAUGGAGAGGC